AUCUUAGAGAAGAAGGCUUCUAGGCUCUUGGAUAUGGGGUUUCAAAAGUAGAUAAUGUCCAUCAAAUCUCUGUUACCAAAGCUUUGUAGAAGUGCUCUUUCAGUUUCAGAUACCCAACUGAAGGAUUUGAAGAGUUUCCUGUGAUACCCCAUAUCAAAAUGCAGCUGCAUGCCUCGGGCGUUUGGACAUAGCCGACACUAAGGGCAACUGGGCUGCCCAAUUGGCCAGUGUAGGUUGCACAGUGGAUAAGGCAACUGCCACUGCACCUGAGCCAAGUAGUGGAGGAAAAUAGGCCAAAAUGGUGUGUACAAGGUCACACACAUAUCUGGCCUGAGGGCCAAGUGGUUGGGACUGCUGGGGGACAGUUUUGCUGUCACUGGCAGGUCACCUGCCUGACCACCUGCCGGUUGUGCUGUCUGCAGAAAAAUUACAUUAUUGUCCUGUGGGUCCCACAUCCCUUCAGGCAUGCCUCGACCAAUUAUAUGAGUUGAAAGGGUAUCUCACACUGGUUAUGUGGCACCCAACAUGCAGACGAUCAGGUGGGCCCACAUGCCAGUACUGGGGAGGAGAAGGAGAUAAGGAGGGGAGAAGGAAAAGGGCUGUUCUCUUGGGCUGCAUGAAGCCUAAUGCUGCUGCUGCUACCACCAUUGCAGCUGCUGCUAAUGUCUUUGCUCCUGCUGCUGCUGGUUACUACUGCUAUACAUGCAAGUUAUAGGGAGUGUAUUUGUUGUACAAAGAAGGUGGCUGCUGCCCAAAGGUUAGAAUUCAGCUGCUGUCCUACCAUUUCUAUUCUUAUACAAGCUGAAAUUGAAGUUGGUUGCUGCCCUGGUGAUGCUUCUUCUGCCUCUGCUGCAUACAUACUGCUCCUACUGCUGCAUGAUAGCUGCUGCUGCAUAUACAUGAUGUUGCUGCUGAUCCUUGCUGUAGCUGCUGUCCAAGUAUGGUUCAUGCAAGCUAUGGAAGGCAAAGGCUGCUUCCAAGUUGGCCUUUCUUACUGCUGCUACCACUUCUCUGUUGUAUACAUACAUACAGGAACCUAAGAUGCUCGGCAAGAAUACGUGAUGACGGGAAUUCAGUGACAAUACUUUGGAUUCGGGUAUCAAGGAAAAGUCAUGAGCUCGUUAGAUGAGACGUUGAAGAAAUGGACCACAGACAUAAACAUGAGGGCAUCAGGAUUGCUGGAAUCCAUGAAUGUGUCAUUCCUCUGUCGGAUCAAGUGUGUGAAAUUACAUCAUCAGUUACUUCGGCAGGUGCCUCAAAAUUAGGAUGCCAACCUGCAUGUAUUUCACUUUGGAUUAGAGAUCUGCCCUACUCUCGAAGAAUUUUGGAUUUGUAUGUUAUCCCCACCCAUAGGAAGGUUGUUCCAACCAUUUUUGAAGAAAGAUUAUUCAGAGAAAAUUCAGGACUUCUUCGGAUGGAAAGAAGAGUAAGUGAAGCAAUUUGUCAUGUACGGGAAGAUUGACAUUCUGAAAGUGACCCAUAUCUUCAUCCAAUAUCUACCAAUGGGUGGAAUCUAUCAAUAGAGAUCACAAGAUACUUAUUUAAUUUGCA